UUUGUACUCCCUUCGUCCGGAAAUACUUGUCAUCAAAAUAAAUAAAAGGGGAUGUAUCCAGAUGUAGUUUAGUUUUAGAUACAUUCCUUUUUGUCCAUUUUGAUGACAAGUAUUUUCGAGCGGAGGGAGUAUUUU
rfam:Triticum aestivum genome assembly, contig: Triticum_aestivum_CS42_TGACv1_scaffold_320499_4BL